rnacentral:rRNA from 1 species
UUCCUACGGGGGGCAGCAGUGAGGAAUAUUGGUCAAUGGGAGAGAUCCUGAACCAGCCAAGCCGCGUGAGGGAAGACGGCCCUAUGGGUUGUAAACCUCUUUUGUCAGGGAGCAAAGGGCGCCACGUGUGGCGCUUUGCGAGUACCUGAAGAAAAAGCAUCGGCUAACUCCGUGCCAGCAGCCGCGGUAAUACGGAGGAUGCGAGCGUUAUCCGGAUUUAUUGGGUUUAAAGGGUGCGCAGGCGGAAUGUCAAGUCAGCGGUAAAAUUUCGGGGCUCAACCCCGUCGUGCCGUUGAAACUGGCGU